rnacentral:rRNA from 1 species
AUGUCGGUGGACAAGCCCGACGGCGGGGGGGUCUCCUCCUCUCCUUCUCUGUGCUGGGGCGGGCAGGGCGCGGACAAGGACAAGGGGCUGCAGGAGGUGAAGAACAGCUACGCCUCGGUGGACGAGUACCUAGGCGUCUUCGAGCCGCUGCUCUUCGAGGAGGGCAAACCGCAGAUCCUCCAGGGUCGCAGAAACGAGGACGAGGGGGAGGAGGAGGAUGGUGGGCUUUGCUACACUUGCCGCUUGUGUGGAUUUCUCGAUUUCCGCAUCUUGAGAGGGGUGGUGAGAUCAUCUGCGGAGUCCGAGGGUUUCCACAAGUUGUCCAUGCUGGAGACCGAUGGCCUCCGCGACAUUGUGUCACUGCCAGAGAAUGUCCUCCUCCUGCUCUCCAAAGAGAAAGAUUCUUAUGAAUAUUUAGGGGUUUUAGCUAUGUUGUUGAUCAAGAUUAAGGACAUGUACCUGCACUACAACGAGAGAUCUGGGCUGCUGUCCCCGCUGAUUGCCGAGGAUAUCUACAAAGUCAUCAUGAAGAACCUUAUAGGAAAAUGUUGUCUUUCACAAGAUGAAACAAAGCGUGCAGAGAUGCUGAGGGAGGCCCUGCCGUGGACUGGCCGAGACUGUCGAGCAUCGUGUUGA